rnacentral:rRNA from 1 species
UACGAAGGGGGCUAGCGUUGCUCGGAAUCACUGGGCGUAAAGGGUGCGUAGGCGGGUUUUUAAGUCAGGGGUGAAAUCCUGGAGCUCAACUCCAGAACUGCCUUUGAUACUGAGGAUCUCGAGUUCGGGGAGAGGUGAGUGGAACUGCGAGUGUAGAGGUGAAAUUCGUAGAUAUUCGCAAGAACACCAGUGGCGGAAGGCGGCUCACUGGCCCGAUACUGACGCUGAGGCACGAAAGCGUGGGGAG